rfam:Canis familiaris ctg19866851425770, whole genome shotgun sequence.
CGGGAAGGAGGCCGCGCUCGAGGGUUAUCUCGCCGCCUCAGAUGCCGGGAAGCCCAAGGAGCCCAGGCGCUUCUGGACGACGUUCAGCAAGGCCGCGGGGAUUCCUGCGCGGAGAGGAGCCUGCCUGUUCUGUUCCAAG